rnacentral:rRNA from 1 species
AUAACGUGAUUAAGUUAUUAAGGGCGCACGGUGGAUGCCUUGGCACUAGAAGCCGAUGAAGGACGUUACUAACGACGAUAUGCUUUGGGUAGCUGUAAGUAAGCGUUGAUCCAGAGAUUUCCGAAUGGGGGAACCCAGCACAAGUUAUGUUGUGUUAUCGACAUGUGAAUACAUAGCAUGUCCGAAGGCAGACGCGGAGAACUGAAACAUCUUAGUACCCGCAGGAAGAGAAAGAAAAAUCGAUUCCCUGAGUAGCGGCGAGCGAAACGGGAAGAGCCCAAACCAAUGAGCUUGCUCAUUGGGGUUGUAGGACACUCUAUACGGAGUUACAAAGGAAUAAAUUAGACGAAUCACCUGGAAAGUUGAACCAGAGAAGGUAAAAGUCCUGUAGUCGAAAGUUUAUUCUCUCUUGAGUGGAUCCUGAGUACGACGGAGCACGUGGAAUUCCGUCGGAAUCCGGGAGGACCAUCUCCCAAGGCUAAAUACUCUCUAGUGACCGAUAGUGAACCAGU